rnacentral:rRNA from 1 species
GACGAACGUUUGCGGCGUGCUUAACACAUGCAAGUCGAACGGAAAGGCCCUGCUUUUGUGGGGUGCUCGAGUGGCGAACGGGUGAGUAACACGUGAGUAACCUGCCCUUGACUUUGGGAUAACUUCAGGAAACUGGGGCUAAUACCGGAUAGGAGCUCCUGCUGCAUGGUGGGGGUUGGAAAGUUUCGGCGGUUGGGGAUGGACUCGCGGCUUAUCAGCUUGUUGGUGGGGUAGUGGCUUACCAAGGCUUUGACGGGUAGCCGGCCUGAGAGGGUGACCGGCCACAUUGGGACUGAGAUACGGCCCAGACUCCUACGGGAGGCAGCAGUGGGAAAUAUUGCACAAUGGGCGGAAGCCUGAUGCAGCAACGCCGCGUGCGGGAUGACGGCCUUCGGGUUGUAAACCGCUUUCGCCUGUGACGAAGCGUGAGUGACGGUAAUGGGUAAAGAAGCACCGGCUAACUACGUGCCAGCAGCCGCGGUGAUACGUAGGGUGCGAGCGUUGUCCGGAUUUAUUGGGCGUAAAGGGCUCGUAGGUGGUUGAUCGCGUCGGAAGUGUAAUCUUGGGGCUUAACCCUGAGCGUGCUUUCGAUACGGGUUGACUUGAGGAAGGUAGGGGAGAAUGGAAUUCCUGGUGGAGCGGUGGAAUGCGCAGAUAUCAGGAGGAACACCAGUGGCGAAGGCGGUUCUCUGGGCCUUUCCUGACGCUGAGGAGCGAAAGCGUGGGGAGCGAACAGGCUUAGAUACCCUGGUAGUCCACGCUGUAAACGGUGGGUACUAGGUGUGGGGUCCAUUCCACGGGUUCCGUGCCGUAGCUAACGCUUUAAGUACCCCGCCUGGGGAGUACGGCCGCAAGGCUAAAACUCAAAGGAAUUGACGGGGCCCCGCACAAGCGGCGGAGCAUGCGGAUUAAUUCGAUGCAACGCGUAGAACCUUACCUGGGUUUGACAUGGAUCGGGAGUGCUCAGAGACGGGUGUGCCUCUUUUGGGGUCGGUUCACAGGUGGUGCAUGGCUGUCGUCAGCUCGUGUCGUGAGAUGUUGGGUUAAGUCCCGCAACGAGCGCAACCCUUGUUCACUGUUGCCAGCACGUUAUGGUGGGGACUCAGUGGAGACCGCCGGGGUCAACUCGGAGGAAGGUGGGGAUGACGUCAAGUCAUCAUGCCCCUUAUGUCCAGGGCUUCACGCAUGCUACAAUGGCUGGUACAGAGAGUGGCGAGCCUGUGAGGGUGAGCGAAUCUCGGAAAGCCGGUCUCAGUUCGGAUUGGGGUCUGCAACUCGACCUCAUGAAGUCGGAGUCGCUAGUAAUCGCAGAUCAGCAACGCUGCGGUGAAUACGUUCCCGGG